GCAAAAAAUGUUCCGAGAAUAGAAUACAAAAAAUAUAGUAAGUAUAUAUAAGAGAUUUGGUUUAGAAUUAAUCAUAACAAGUGAGACAUUCAUUACAAUCAUCAAUCAUGAUGUGCAAGUUAGUAUUGGUCACUUUGGUUGUAUACCUAUGCUUAGAAGCAGCAUAUGGACAGCAUUCUUAUGGAUUGAACCCUGGUCAGCGCCAUGCAACUGGCUUCAACCCCAAUCAAAAUCAGCGCCACGCUACUGGUUUCAAUCCAGGCCGCCGAACUGGACGCGUCUACAGAGACUUAAGCAGUGCUGACACAGGGAGAGACCAUCCCAAACCUAUAGGGGCUCAUGCUACCGGCCCUUCUCGUCACGGAUUUGAACGUGGUCCAGGUCCAGUAAUUCGCCAUCACGAAUAGAUUCAAGAAACACUCCAUACCGAUGAACCUUUUAUAUGCUUUAUAUUUUAAUAUACGUUUUUAGUUAAA